GAUGAACGCUGGCGGCGUGCUUAACACAUGCGAGUCGAACGGAAAGGCCCAAGCUUGCUUGGGUACUCGAGUGGCGAACGGGUGAGUAACACGUGGGUGAUCUGCCCUGCACUUCGGGAUAAGCCUGGGAAACUGGGUCUAAUACCGGAUAGGACCACGUCUUGGAUGUUGUGGUGGAAAGUUUUUUCGGUGUGGGAUGAGCUCGCGGCCUAUCAGCUUGUUGGUGGGGUAAUGGCCUACCAAGGCGUCGACGGGUAGCCGGCCUGAGAGGGUGUACGGCCACAUUGGGACUGAGAUACGGCCCAGACUCCUACGGGAGGCAGCAGUGGGGAAUAUUGCACAAUGGGCGCAAGCCUGAUGCAGCGACGCCGCGUGGGGGAUGACGGCCUUCGGGUUGUAAACUCCUUUCGCUAGGGACGAAGCGUUUUUGUGACGGUACCUGGAGAAGAAGCACCGGCUAACUACGUG
rnacentral:rRNA from 1 species